rnacentral:lncRNA from 1 species
AAAAAUAUAAUCUCCAAAGAUCUGAAUGGAAUAUAUUUGAAUCAACAGAGUUGACGAAACCAAUAGAAGAAUAAAGAAAUAACGAACUGAAGUAACUAACUCAAUGAAUUUAACUGAACAGAAACAAACAAAACAAAUACAAUGAGAUAAUAGGCUGAAUCAAAUGAUUGGGUGUUAUUUCAUACCGAACGAGCUCAAAAAUAUAUCUUGCCACACAGGCAAGUCAAACUAAUGCCACAUAGACAAAUCAAAUGAUGCCACACA